rnacentral:rRNA from 1 species
UCACGAAGUAGUUUUGAGCUAAAUAUAUUAUAAUAUUAGUUAUUUAUGAAGGUGUUGUAAAACCUUAUUAAAAAUUAUAUUUAGGGGUGAUAGGCCUUUCAAAAACUAAGAUAUCUUGAAUCUAAUUAAAAGUAUGUAGUACACUCAACACAACUAUAAAGUGAUUAGGCUUUAUAGAACUAUUAACAUAUAAAGAUUUUAUUUAUUAUAAUUUAAUAAUUAAGUAUAUAAAUACAAUAAUAUUCAUAUAUUAUAGUUUAUAAGGAGUAAUUAGAUAAAUUAAAGUUCAUAAAUUUUGUAAUAAUGUUAAUAUUAGUAUUUAAUUUAUAUUUAUAUGAUGAACUCGGCAAAAAUGCUUCUCAACUGUUUAUCAAAAACAUAACUAUGUGUAUAAAUACAUAGCGGUUUCUGCUCAAUGAUUAAUUAAAUAGCCGCAGUAUACUGACUGUGCAAAGGUAGCAUAAUCAAUUGACUUAUAAUUGAAGUCUAGAAUGAAUGAAAAUAAUGGGAAGCCACUAUAUUUUGUAAAUAUACAUAAUUUAUUUAUGAAGUGAAAAUACUUCUACAAACAUAAUAGACGAGAAGACCCUAGAAAUUUUAGUAAUUAAAAUAUUAUAUUUGAGAAUUUUUUUGUUGGGGCGACAGAGUAGCAUAUUAACCUACUUAAGUAAACUUGCACUUUUUAUAUUGUUUGAAAAAUUUACUCUAGGGAUAACAGCAUAAUAUUUAAAAGUUUAUGACCUCGAUGUUGGACUAGGAAAUAAUAACUUAAAAGGUUUUUUAUAUUGCUCUGUUCGAGCAUUAACUCCUACAUGAUC